GCGCUCACUUUGGCAGCAUAUAUACUAAAAUUAAAGCAAGACAGAGAAGAUGAGCAUGGCCCCUGCUCAAGGAUGACACACAAAUUCAUGAAGUGUUUUAUCUUUUU
ensembl:snRNA U6 U6 spliceosomal RNA